CAUUUUAACGCUGUAGGUAUUUCCUGAUCAUAGCCUAGCCUAUCAACAUACCCUACCUAUGGUUCUGUGCUAA